rnacentral:ncRNA from 2 species
AUGGAAGGCUGGGGGAGUCGAAGGUAUUCGGCUGAGAGGAAACAAAAAGCAACCCUUGUUUCGACCCCUGGAACCUGAUCCGGCUCAUAUCGGCGAAGGAAAGCCCCUUUCCCCCAUC